CAUAGGAAAUGAAUGGCCGAAUAUCCGUCGAAUAUCCAACUUCAAACUAACUUCACCACGGUCUUUAGCUGUCUGGUGACCAUUUUUAUCUAUGUUGCAGCUGAGGUAGCAAGGCUCUUUGCGCCGUAUAACGGCGGAGCCAGAAGAAAUAUCACGAGACGACCAGCUCAAGUCCAAGUGAGUCGAAGAAGCUAUACACACACUGUGUGUUGUUUGGCUGACCACAAGGCGGAUAAAGUCCCAAGCGUACAGCUUAAAGCGGACCUUCAUAUUUCAGGACUUGGAGAGCACAAAGUGACAUUUUCAGGGAAUGACAGCGAUCCCAUGGUCAUAACAAACAAGUUGAUGGAAGUAUUUCCGAAGCUCCAAGAAGGGGGAGGCUUCGAAUUUUUAAAAAUUGCAGGAUCUACACGGAGUCGAAAUCUGGCAUUGCUUCAGUGUCCCAGCACUGGAUACACGCUUGCCUAUCUAAAGGAUCCAGCUUCGAUGAUUGGACAGGCUACAAUCUUCAUUCGUCCGCUUCAACAGGAUCUACCCUUCGAUUGUGAGAGCUCAAGUUCUGCCUCUGGUCCAGUCAUCCCCUGCAUCACCUGUCAGAAGGAGGUUCCCUUUUCAGAGAUGAAGCUGCACAGAUUGAGCUGCAAUGGGACACCCAUGCAGGAAUCAGAGAAAGAACAAGAGGGAGGCCAAAGUGAUAGUGAGACCGUCAGUGACAGUGUUCCAGUGAGGCCUGGAACAUCAGCUGAAAGUGCAGAAGUGCCAGCAGUGAUGGUCAACGAGGAGCUGGAUAGUAAAGAAGCAGACAGCGAAUGGAAGCUUAUUGAAGAACCGUCUCAAGCUGCCAAAGUUUUCAAAGAGAAUCUGCUGAAGGAACAUGCAUCUGGGACACCACUUCGAAUGAAGAUGGAUGUAAGGGACUCUGAAGAGGACAGGGAACGGGAACUUCUCUUGUUCUAUAAACAGCAGCAAGAAUGGGCAUGUCCACUUCAUUGUACUCUUGUUGGUGAUGCUGCUGUCGGAGAGGGAGUGAUGAGGUACUUUCUGACAACGGUGAUAUCCAAACUCCAAUUUGGAUUCAGUCUAGAUCUUGGAGGAAUGGGCCGAACACUGCUGUUUGAGGGUGAACCUGACCAUCUUGUUCCAGCAGCAUCAGAGGCACUCAUUGAAAGCAAUCUCUUCCGGGUUGCAGGAAGGAUGUUGGCCCACAGCUUUCUGCAUGACGGUCCCCAUGUCACAGGAUUAAGUCCUGCUGUGAUUCAUGUACUGUUCAAUGGGGAUCCUGAAAUGGCAACUGUUGUUACAGAAGACUGUCCUGAUCUGCACAUCAGGAGUAUCAUAAAACUGGUAUGUAACAUAUAA
rnacentral:lncRNA from 1 species